rnacentral:rRNA from 1 species
GACGAACGCUGGCGGCGCGCUUAACACAUGCAAGUCGAGCGAUGAAAUCUUGACAGAUCCCUUCGGGGUGAAGAUAAGAUGGAUUAGCGGCGGACGGGUGAGUAACACGUGAGUAACCUGCUUUAGACAUUGGGAUAGCCUCGGGAAACCGGGAUUAAUACCAAAUGAAAUCAUAGGUGCCCAUGCACUAAUGAUCAAAACUCCGGUGGUCUAAGAUGGACUCGCGUCCCAUUAGCUAGUUGGUGAGGUAAUGGCCCACCAAGGCGACGAUGGGUAGCCGGCCUGAGAGGGUGAACGGCCACAUUGGAACUGAGAAACGGUCCAAACUCCUACGGGAGGCAGCAGUGGGGAAUAUUGCACAAUGGAGGGAACUCUGAUGCAGCGACGCCGCGUGAACGAUGAAGGCUUUCGAGUCGUAAAGUUCUUUUAUAUGGGAAGAUAAUGACGGUACCAUAAGAAAAAGCCCCGGCUAACUACGUG